AUUGAACGCUGGCGGCAUGCUUUACACAUGCAAGUCGAACGGCAGCACGGGUGCUUGCACCUGGUGGCGAGUGGCGGACGGGUGAGUAAUACAUCGGAACGUAUCCUAAAGUGGGGGGAUAACGCAUCGAAAGAUGUGCUAAUACCGCAUACACUCUGAGGAGGAAAGUAGGGGAUCGAAAGACCUUAUGCUUUUGGAGCGGCCGAUGUCUGAUUAGCUAGUUGGUAAGGUAAUGGCUUACCAAGGCAACGAUCAGUAGUUGGUCUGAGAGGACGACCAGCCACACUGGGACUGAGACACGGCCCAGACUCCUACGGGAGGCAGCAGUGGGGAAUUUUGGGACAAUGGGCGCAAGCCUGAUCCAGCAAUGCCGCGUGAGUGAAGAAGGCCUCGGUUGUAA
rnacentral:rRNA from 1 species